UACGUAGGUGGCAAGCGUUGUCCGGAUUUAUUGGGUUUAAAGGGUGCGUAGGCGGUCUAUUAAGUCAGUGCUGAAAUACUCCAGCUUAACUGGAGGGGUGGCAUUGAUACUGAUGGACUUGAGUACAGAUGAGGUAGGCGGAAUUGACGGUGUAGCGGUGAAAUGCAUAGAUAUCGUCAAGAACACCGAUAGCGAAGGCAGCUUACUGGGCUGUAACUGACGCUGAUGCACGAAAGUGUGGGGAUCAAACAGG
rnacentral:rRNA from 1 species